GACGAACGCUGGCGGCGUGCUUAACACAUGCAAGUCGAACGGAAAGGCCCUUCGGGGUACUCGAGUGGCGAACGGGUGAGUAACACGUGGGUGAUCUGCCCUACACUUUGGGAUAAGCCUGGGAAACUGGGUCUAAUACCGAAUAUGAUCAUCGGCUUCAUGGUCGGUGGUGGAAAGCUUUUGCGGUGUGGGAUGGGCCCGCGGCCUAUCAGCUUGUUGGUGGGGUAAUGGCCUACCAAGGCGACGACGGGUAGCCGGCCUGAGAGGGUGACCGGCCACACUGGGACUGAGAUACGGCCCAGACUCCUACGGGAGGCAGCAGUGGGGAAUAUUGCACAAUGGGCGCAAGCCUGAUGCAGCGACGCCGCGUGAGGGAUGACGGCCUUCGGGUUGUAAACCUCUUUCAGCACAGACGAAGCGCAAGUGACGGUAUGUGCAGAAGAAGGACCGGCCAACUACGU
rnacentral:rRNA from 1 species